UACAGAGGUCUCAAGCGUUGUUCGGAUUCAUUGGGCGUAAAGGGUGCGUAGGCGGCGCGGUAAGUCGGGUGUGAAAUCUUGGAGCUUAACUCCGAAACUGCAUUCGAUACUGCCGUGCUUGAGGACUGGAGAGGAGACUGGAAUUUACGGUGUAAGCGGUGAAAUGCGUAGAUAUCGUAAGGAAGACCAGUGGCGAAGGCGGGUCUCUGGACAGUUCCUGACGCUGAGGCACGAAGGCCAGGGGAGCAAACGGG
rnacentral:rRNA from 1 species